CAAGUACUCCCUUCGUUCGGAAUUACUUUUCGCAGAAAUGGAUGCAUAUAGACGUAUUUUAGUUCUAGAUACAUCCAUUUCCGAGACAAGUAAUUCCGAACGGAGGUAUUAUGUU
rnacentral:pre_miRNA from 1 species